GACGUAGGGGGCGAGCGUUAUUCGGAAUCAUUGGGCGUAAAGCGCUCGUAGGCGGGAAAGCAAGUCCGUGUUGAAAGACCCCGGCUCAACUGGGGGACCGGCUCGGAUACUGUUUUUCUUGAGGCAAUCAGAGGGUGAUGGAAUUCCCGGUGUAGCGGUGAAAUGCGUAGAUAUCCGGAAGAACACCGGUGGCGAAGGCGGUCUGCUGGGCAGUAGCUGACACUGAGGCGCGACAGCGUGGGGAGCAAACAGG
rnacentral:rRNA from 1 species